rnacentral:lncRNA from 1 species
AAAUUAAGAGGUUCAUGCUGUACCAACUGAACUACACCUAGUAACUAAACUAGGUUGCGUGAACAACCCUGAAGUGAAGUAGUUACCAUGGGGGAAAUCACUGACAGCGUGAUAUCUGAACAACAGCAAAAAUGUAGCAAAUCAAUUCUGAAAUGUAUGUGUAUACAUUACCAUGCAUGAAGUAUGAUAUACACUUUACCAUGCAUUCCAGUUGGGUUUGGUGUUUAGCAGAUAUUCACAUUCAAUGCAAAGGAAAAUAAAGGAGGAAGCAAUAAGGAGAUCUGUUUUUCAUGUGAGUGUGAUAACAAAACACCUAAGGACCUGAAAACAAACUGAAUGCUAAUUUAAUAAAAGUUUGUACACUUAGCUGUUGAAGAGUUGCUAAGGGACUAACUGGGCAAUGUAAACAUACCAGCAGGCCCAUUUGUCGCAUAUCCUUAGUGUACUAAAGGAAUUGAUGAUUAAAUUUACUGAGCUUCUGUUAGCUACUGUGUUUGGAAGAAGGACAGGUACAGCCCAGACCUAGGGAGAACUUCAGAGGGACAAUGUGUUCCUACCUUGCCUGCAGUAACAAAUACCUAGCAAUAUAUUUUGCAUUAACUCAUGGAACCCUUUGAAAAUUUGCUGUUCAUGUGCAGAAAUGUCAUUGUUCUCAUUCUUCAUUUUCAGCUGCAAGAAGAAACCAACUGUGGCCAGCAUCACCAUAACACUUCCAUGCUUCUUGAAAUUGCUCAGGGUUUAGAGGGGCAGCAGGUGGCAAAGAGGUGAGCAAAGAAGGAAUGAAGUAAAUCUUGAGGUGUAUGCUCUCUUAAAUCUAUUAAACUAUCCUAAAUGGAAACAUUUAUGUUUCACAUUAAUGCUCCAGUACUAAGCAUAUUUGCUCAGAAAGGUUUCGAUUUUAUUUGCCUCUGAGUAAGCUUGUUUAAGUUUGCAGCCGGACCAACGACAUGAUUUGAAGCACACUGUGCCAUAGUCUUCUGCCAGCACAUUGGGGGCGAAGAGUGUUAGCAUGGCAAUUGGGGCAGGGGCAUUUCCUCCCCUUGCCCCAUGGUACAGCUUCCCCAUUAUACUACCCAUAGAAGUGCCACAAUCUAAACUCUUGACAAGACUGAAAUUACACUGACCUGUUUGAGGAAGUACUUUAGAGCAUGUGAUAAAAUGGUUCCAGAAACCACCCCUGCUCAUUGGUAAUCUGAAGAGUGAUUAUUGAGACUGUAAUAAAAAUAAUAAAAGACAACAGCUGACAGUUUCCUGGAAAUUUCCCUUCUUGCUGAAGAAGCAAGCCAGUUUUCAGUGCGGAUUUUAAAAUAUAUAUAUAUAUAGGGUCUUUGGUACUGCAUAUAUAGGGAUGCAGUGGAAACUUCAAAGAAUGGUACAAUGAUUAAUGUGGCAUCAAGUAAGUCUCAGAUAGAAGGGUCUUCCAUGUAACAACUGUACAAUUGGAUCCUUCAAAUGAUAUACAAGUUUCAAAUAUAUCAUCGUUGAACAAGGUGACCAAGCAGAUCAUCACUGUUCAUCUUCAAGCAUUCCUGGAUGAAAUAUAAAUAUUCUAUUAUCGUUGCAACCAGUUUUCAGACCAUAGUUUUGGACUCUUUGGUUGCCCAGCUUUUGAGAAACUGAUUUUUCCUCAACGUGGAAGGCUAAAAUUGCCCCCUGGUAAAUAUUCAACCAGUUUUAAUGAACUGGCUCUAGGUAUUGCUUAAAACCAUGUUGAUGAACACCAUUGUUGUGUCUUGGGGUAUAGAGGGUUCCAAGCUACAAGAAUGUGUCUUGGGUACUUUGGAAGAUCAAGUGGUUUUCGUCCUUUUUUAGUGCAGCAGUCCUUAGUUGUACAUAAGCUUAAUUGUUACAAAACUGUGAUUCACACCAACUCCAUUGAUCCUGAAAACUAGCAUGAGUACAUAGAAAACUGCCUUAUACAGUUGGUCCAUUUGGCUCAGUAUUCUCUACACCAGGCUUCUUCCACCUCGGCCCUCCAGAUGUUUUUGGCCUACAACUCCCAUGAUCCUUAGCUAGCAGGACCAGUGGUCAGGGAUGAUGGGAAUUGUAGUCUCAAAACAUCUGGAGGGCGGAGGUUGAGGAAGCCUGCUGUACACUGACUGGCAGCAGCUCAGACAGGGUUUUCUCCCAGCCCUAUCUGAAGAUGUUGGGGAUUGAAUCUGGGGUCUUCCGAAUGCAAAUAAGUUGCUCUACCACUGUGAUAUAGCUCAUAGGCAUAUUGAUCCAAGCCAUAGGCUGCAUACACACCACACAUUUAAAUAUCCCCCCCAAAGAAUCAUGGGAAUUGUAGUUUACCCCCCACUGAGCACUUAACAAACUACAGUUCCUGUGAUUCCUUUUUUGGGGGGAGGAUGUACUUUAAAUGUUCUUCAAAGGUAUGGUGUGUACACAACCAUAGAAGCAAGACUUUCUUCUACCCACAGGGUUGUAAUGGGAGAAAAUGAAAUCAUUAAACAAAUGAAAUAUAAAUGAAGUUUGUGGCCUACACUGGAGUCCAAGAAGAGGGCUGAGGUAGUUUGUUCACAAUAAGUUGCCCCUGAAGCGUCUAUCUUAAAUUGAAAAAUCACAAACUCAAAGAUGUGCAUUUUAAACAGAAAAGAAAUGCCUCAAUGUGACUUUCUAUAAAUAUUUUCUUUCCUGUCUGGAUUGUGUUAGUGUGAAAUACAACAAAUACUUCUGCAGUUUUCAGAUUAUGCUGCAUGGGGGGGGGGCAGAUGAUGCCUGAUUUAAUUUUGGCAGCAAAGAUUCGCUCUCUGCCUGUCUUCAGUGAAUUUCUAGCCUCCAGACUAGAUUCUGUGAAACAUACACUAGAAAUAUAUUGGACUCUUAACUUCCUGUUGCUUUCCAUUCACAGUAACAAAUCCGCAAUGAUCCUGACAGCAAAGAGAGCCUCUUAAGUGCUAUUUCUGUAUUACAUUUGGC